GACCUGAGGCACAGCAGCAGACUGUCAACGGCAGCUCUCCUCAGAGAGAACAUCAGAGAAUUCACUGGUUUCCUGUGAAGGAUGCACACGUGCACACACACGUGCACGCCCACAUCAUCCUUAUGUUUACUAUCAUCAGUGUUGGAACGCAGCGUGUGGACCUGACAGACUGCAUGUAGCGUCCACAAAGAGAGGACAAACCAAAUAUAUCUGUGAGCUCCAGUCAUGUGGUGCACUGCUAAUAAUACACAAACAGCUCACACAUGCACACGCACAUGCACGUACACCCCUGGAUUCAUUCAGCUUUUCCUCAGAGAGCACCCCCCCCCCUCUUUUUAACUCGAGCAGCUGCUUCAGCUGAUCAACACGUCCAUCCACUGAGCUUGAUUCUGUUUUCCUGGAAACUUCUGACUGUUUCUUCUGUCACAUUCUAGAACCCUUUGAGGUCCACGAGUGAGAAAGUGCAGAUCCUGCUCUAGAGGGCGCUAGGGUCACGUGCACCUGUACGGGGGUUGACCUGCACAGGUGCAGCAGAUUUUUGGGUCGUCCGGUCCGUGGGGGGUGUAUAGAGAGGAGCAGCUGCACCUUCAGCUCAGUUCCAUGUACUCAUGGGGGAUGCUGGAGUACCAUUCCUGACCACAUGCUGCACACCUUUACCUGAUUCUGCCACUUGGGAGAUGUCGACUCCCUGCUCUGCAGCCAUGAAGCCCAGAAUGGAGAAGACCACGAAACCGGCAAAGAAGCUGGUGCCGCUGUUGAUGAGCGCCAGAACGAAGGCGUCCCUGCAGGAGAGAAGGAUGUCAGCCAUCAGGACACCUGCAGCCUCUGGAUCCAGAGACUCUACAGAACUCUGAUUUUCAAAGGAACAAGAAAAACUGACUCUUAACAAAAAUAAACAAAAGCCUUAACAACAGCAGGAAAUGAACCAGAGCACCGCCAACGAUCAGUGACGGACCAAAGUUAUUCUCAUUUUACAUUAAUGAUGUUUUUCUUGUUUUAAUGUCAACAAAGUUGACAUUUAUUAUGUUUGCUAAUGAUAUAAAUAUGUUUAGUUCAGGAUAGAAUAUUGAUGAGUUGCUGAAUGUUGUUGGACAAGAAUUUAAAUCUAACAAGAUGUCUCUAAAUGAAAAUAAAACUAAAUAUAUGAUAUUUUCUGGAAAUAGAAA